CCCUAGUCCCUUGAUAAGCACAUAAUCACGAAAAGGUCCUCACAUAAAAGUAAGUUCUUUUUCAACCCUCAAUCUUUUAUAAAUUUAUCAAACAAACCCCAAGACUUUUAAAACACAAGUUUAACCCAAAACUUCUAAACAUAUUGUGUUUUAGGCCCUAAAAUUAUUUUCAUACAAUUUUCAUCCCUAAAACACAUUCACAACUAGAUCCCCAAAUAGUUUAUAAAACCUUUCAGCUCAAAAAAUAAUAUACUCAUAAAAAGUUUUAAUUCCAAACUUAAAAUCCUCAUGAUGCUCUCGGCCCUUUUCUUUAAAUGUCAAGGUAAAUAUUUCUUCCAAAACUAAUAGUACACAAGUGAGACAAAUGCAAAAACCAUGAGGAAAACUAGUUUUAAAGUUUAUAAUCACUUCUGGGAAAGGAACACUUUUCAAAACUCAACUUUUUCUCCACAUGAAACUAUUACCAUCAGCCCUUUUGAAAUCAAAAGAGCAAAACCAUCUUUAAAAGAGAAAUAGCCACACAGUAAAGGAAAACUAGAAACAAUAGAAGUUAGGAGCUGUUUUAGAAGGAUUUAAUACCGAAACAAAAGCCAAUAGUAUUAAUUAGAAGCAACCUAUGGUGAUGGUGGCCAGCGGUGGCUGUGGUGCUCGCGUGUCCAUGGCUGUUUGGAGUGGCCAUGGUUGGAGCUUUUGUGUGUGGUGGUGGUGGCUCAUGGCUGGUUGUCCAUGGAGAAGAAAGGGAGAAGGAGCAGAAAUGGGUCUGCUGAAGAAAGAAAGAAAACGUGAAAGAGAAGAAGAAAAUGGGUCUGGCGUUGGGAGAAAGAAAAGAAACGAGAGUGUAAGGUGAUAUGCUGGAGAAGAUAUUUUCAUGAACAAGUGGGGGGCCGUGGGUCAUGAGUCAGAAAUUGAGAAAGAAUAGAAUAAGGAACUUAGUAAGAGAGAAUUAUAAAAUAUUUGUGGAAAUCAUCAGAAUGUGAAACGUGGAGUAAGCAUAGCCAAGGUAAAAGAAUAUUCCAAGUUUUGUGGGUGUGAGUUGAUAUGGGUAGUGUAGGAUUUAACUCAUAGAGCUUAAGAGAAAAAUAUAAGCAUGAUAUAUUACUAUAUUAAAAAUUAUGAAGGACUCUAUGAAAUGAUAAAAUAUAAAUUUGGAUCACUUUGGGUAAAAUAAAACGAUACAUCGACAAGAAAAUGAGUAAAAACUGAGCUAAAGAAUAACUGUUAGACAAUUCUAAGUAUCGAUCCAAGAAAGGACGACACUUGCAUCGGGUUCAUUUAAGUGAGAAAAUGGCUUGAACGCAGUAUGCUUCAAAAUAUAUCGCAAAACUACUUUUUGCAAUUGAUGUCGGAUGAGAAAACUUCCUUUUGAAGAAAGAUUGGAAACGUCGAAACAAAUCUGGCAGCGCGGACGGAAACUUCGUUAAAAGUCCCGAAUAGAAAAAGUCUUCAUUCAGCGCUUGAAUCUAGGGUUUCGAAGCAAAGAAAUUAGCGUCGUCGGACUUCCGAAAAGUGAAUACUAUCGUGCGUACAGUCCAGGGUUCCGAAAUGAAACGCUGGUCGAAGGAAAAAUAAAGAGAAUCUUUAAAUUUUCCAAAGAUUUGAAAUCUCACUUGAAACGUUGCUCUAGAAGCGAAAUAACCUAUUCUGGACACGCUCGCCAUAAGGCAGGUGUGCAGACGAAUCGCACUAACUUCGAAAGCAACUACGCAACAUUCCUCAAGCAAUUCCUGAACUUUCUUCUUCAUUAAUCUUUCUCAAAUAUCAAACUCCUGUCACGCUUACACUGAUUUUACGCGUGAGUCGGAAAUUAACUUGUUCUGCAAAUCCAGGUCUUACAAUACUCCCCUCCAAAAAGAAAGUUUCGUCCUCGAAACUCAGAGUUCUGCAAAAAGUCCGGGAUACAGUUCCUCGAUCUUAUCUCCCAAUUCUCAUGUAGUAUUGCCCAUGUCAUUGUUCCUCAUAACCUUUACUUAAGCAAUCUGUUCUCCCCUUAAUUGUUUCACUCUUCUAUCCCCACUGCUAACUGUCGGCGUCUCCAAAGACAAACCAUCAUUCAACUUCAUGUCGUCUGACUCGAGUACUUGCGUCGGAUCUCUGCUUGAAAUGAUACCGGUUGGCACUCCGUGCAGUCGCACAACCUUAGCCACUUACUUCUUUACUUUCGGACGUCCGAAAUUCUUCUUAAACUCGGUGCCUCUCUGUCAUUUCAAAGUAAAUACUCAACUUGUCCUCGAGAUCUUCAUCUACAGUCCAAAACUCCACCUGUCCGUUCGAUAACUCCUAGACGAAUCAUCCCCUUGGAAACCGCUAGUCCAUUAAAACACCUCCAACUUCGUAAUUAUCUUUACACACACCAAGAAAUCACACUUCUACUUAGUCACUAUUCGAAUUAAAGCUCGACUUAUGUCCUUAUUUCUUGUCCUUCACUAAUCUUAUCCCCUUCAACAUCAAUUUAUCAACAACUUAUAAGAUAAUCCUCUUCUUAAUAUCUAACAAUCCAGUAUUAUCGUCUUCUUCCUUAGAACUUCCCUCACUCAAACCUAUUUACACUUACUGAAAUCCCUAACACUUCGCACAAAUCGAGACUUAUCCUCUAGAAGAUCAAAUCAUAACUAUACCUCAAGGGACUUAACUAGCCACUUUAUCAUCCGAUCCUUCAACAUUCUGAGAUUUAACCGUUAUCGUAACCGCUAACACCACUAAAUCUCUUAUGUGUACAUGAAUCUCAGCUCACUAGGUCAACCUUAGCCCUAGGAUUCUCAUUCAACUUUAGUAAGAUUCACUUGUUAACCGUAAUAUGCAUCAUCAAAAUCCAUGACAAGGUUCCAUUCACCCUUAGACUCUACGGAACUUGUUCAAAUAUAAAAACCUCAAGUAUUCAUCUUAAUACUAACACUUUCCUUUCUGUAACUUGAUCAUCCUCCAAUCGUUCCAAUACUUAGUCUCUCGAUCAAAACCUGACAAGAGUUCAUGUCUCACGCGUUCGUGAUCAAACCGAUUGGCUUAAAAUCUAAACCUUCACUAAGUUUGGACCACCAAUAUCCUUUAACUCUCCAACACUUCUUAAAUGAAUAUUUAUUUCUUAAAACUAUAACUCCUUCGCUUACACAAACGACCUGAUAAGUGUCGUCAUGCUUUCACACUCACCGCUUGAUCCUGAUAUCCGUAAUCAUAACUUAUUAUGCUAACACCAUUCAAAUCUUAUCACAUGGUCGUUAUGUCCGCAACCUCAUAAUCAACAUCAAUCGAUCACCAACUUAUAACCAACCUUAACACUCUACACAACCCAGAAUUCCUUUACUUCAAGAUCUCUCUUAUACUAUACCUCAAUGGUCUUAACCCGAAACUCACCUUCAGGUCUUCAAUCUUCUAAGAUUCAACUCCUAUUGUCACACCUACAACCAUAAGAUCUCCUACUCGUACGCGAUUCUCGACUCUCAAGAUUCAAUCUUAACCCUAAGAUUUCAAUCCAACUUAGUAAAUCUCACUUAGUAAUCUUAGCAUAUUUCUUUGGAAUCCAUAUCAACAACCUCAAGUAUUCAACUUAUGCUAAAACUUUCUUCUUCCAACUUAAUCAUUAAUCCAAUACUUUUCAAGUGACAAUUCAUCUCUUAAGACUGUAAUGUCUCCACAUAUUAAUCAAACGCUUAGCAAAACUUAUUCCUCGAACUCAACUAUAACAAUCUAGUUCAGAGUUAAUUCUUCUCAAUCUUGCUACCAUCAAGCUAUCAUCUAAAACCUGAUUAAAUCCAACCUAUUUAGUCUCUAACAAUUCCACUCAGUAAUCACAUAACCUAUGACUUCAUAACUUCCGAGAAACUACUUAAUACUUUUCCAGCACUAAAUCUCUUGACUUAGUCUACCUCUACUUGGAGUAAUCACACGAACUAACCAAUCAAUGUCUAUACGACACUCAUCGACUUCCAAAGAUUUAAAUCUUAAUCUUUUACAAUCAAAUGCUUAACACGAACUUUCCUCCCAAAUCCGACUAAUCCUCAAUCAAUUCAAAUUCAUCUUACACAUCCUUCUAUCAAGGUCCAUUACCAGCUGUGAUUCCGAAUAUCACCCCCUCAAUAUUAGGUUGAUCAGGCCUAAUACAUCGAAGGUGGAAAUUUAGAAAAACCCACUGGAACAGUCAAUGAGUUCCUAUCCUCCAGUAGUCACAAAUAUCCUGAUACUAAAUCCUUUAAUGAUCCCGCUACGGAACUACACACCCUCAACAUAUCGCGUAUACUACCCAUACGGAAUGUCCCUAAGAUUCGUGCUUCAGCUACUAGCUUCCUCAUAAUCGCAUCGGUGGAAGACUACUUUCUAGACUUAGUGUGCUAUUCCCAACCUCGUGUAACUUCUAUAGUUAAAACACGAGCAACUUCGAAUAAGGUCCUACUAGGGAUAAUAAUCAUAAGAUCAUAGUCUAAGUAGUAAAUACAAGUUAGGCGCGUCAUACUCGCUUCAAAGAUAAAAGAGUAAGUUAUUCUAGAAUAAGAGGACAGUUAAAAUAUUACCAUCGUUCCCACGUUCCUCCUCGUUUAACUCCUCAGCUCUUGCUCCUUCCUUGGCAUAAAUCCUUUCCUCUGUAGCAAGUUGUUUUCCUUUCCCAACAUUCCCUGAUGAUUCGCCCUUGGGUGCCUUACAAUCUCUGGAUAAAUGUCCCGGUUGGUUGCAAUUGAAGCAUAGACUUUCCUUGAUCUUGCACCUACUGGCAGAGUGCCCGCUUUCCCCACAGUUGAAGCAUAGAGAUCCCCCGUCUGGACACUUGUUACUAUAGUGCCCCACUUUCCUACACCGGUAACACGUCACUGUUUUUCCCGAAAUCUUGUUUCCUGUCCCUCCGGUAGCAUCAUUCCCUUUCAUCUUACUGUCAGACGUUCCCUCCUGAAGUGUCUUGCAGUUCACAGCUAGAUGCCCCUCUCGGUUACACUUGACGCAUCUCCGUCCAACCACUGAGCACUUGUUAGCAAAAUGCCCAAACUUUCCGCAACGAAAACAUGUCACACCUUUAUCACCAACUGGCUUCCCUCCAGUAUCAGCAGUCGUUGGUUUGUACGCUCUUGAGAUGAGAUUUCUUCCCUCGGAACGCUGAUAUGGUCCCCACUAAUGGUAGCUCUCCCUUCCGUUGUAGCCUUGGGAACCUGACCUCAUUGGUCCCCCAGCUCCUGUUCGGUUCAUUCCUCUUUGUUGAUACAUUGCCGUCGCCAUCAGUCGUUGGUGAUGCUCACGUGCAGCCUCUUCAGCGCGUAUGUAAGCGUCUUCCGCAGCCUGAUUCAUCAUUGCCUCGAUCAGUGUAGCUAUUGCCUCCGCCAUCCGGUUAAGGUCCACCAUGCUAUAUCUCAUCAAGCGUCCCAUUAGUACUAACCAUACGGUAGCACUAGACAAACCAUUCAAUAUGGUUUAAGUAGUAACGCAAACAAUUAGAGCGAAGAUCGCUCUGCAGACAAUCAAUUUUCACUCUUUGCAGAGUCACACAACCUAGCACAGAAGACCUAUUCCCCAAAGACUCCCAAAAGACUCGACUAAGCUCUGAUACCACAAUGUAACACCCCGAUUUCCAGGUGUCACUUUAGUAACCAAAAAUAAUCUUUACGCGGAAAACAGGUAAUUUUUUUUCGUUUUCUUUCCUUUAAAUCAAAACGAUAAGGAAGUAAAGACAAAACCCAACUACUCAACUAACCGAUAUACAACAUAUGUACAUGUGCAGCCUCAGCUGCACUCCAUGUCACGCGCACUCGCAGUGACUCCAAAGCAGUGUGCCCGUAGGCAAAUAUAUACAGACCCAGAAGUGUAAGUGAGAAAAUUAUAAUUACAAACCACUAGGAGAAAGUCGGCCUCAAUAUGGCCUAAGCAAAGACCCCUAUGGUCCAACUGACUCACUGUGAUCCCUCAGUAAGAGAACCACACGAAAAGUCAUGCGUCGGAAACCUACCCGAUCCCAAAAGCAAAACGAAUCAGAGCUCUACACAAAACAUGACGCCUGCCCAAACCUAACCUCCCAGUGCCAAACCCACAACGAUCUGAAGUCGGCAAGUUGAAGCUCAACUCUAUGCGCCAUAGAACUCCUUUCGUCAGUCGUCCACGCUCGUCAGUCCGGUCCUCCAUGACCCUUCCCCGAUACGUCGCCCGGUGACCAGCAACAUCGAUCACCCAAGCGGUGAGGCAUCCCGAUCCUGCAGCUCAUAUCUGAUCCCCCCCCGAGGGAGAGACCACCGAGAACCAGUCGGCCAUCGAUAUCUGGCAGCAUGCCGACCGCCCAAACACAAACAUACAAACAAAGCCAAGGCGCUAGGGUCAACUCACAGCAAUAAGUACAUAUACACUCAACAUGUGACAGGGUAUAUAUAUAAGUUGUUAUAUAAGCAUAUAAGUAAUCCUAGCAUGUUAUGGCUCUAACGUUGCUUCAAUAAACAAACAGCACACAGUCUCAGUCAGCAUGAAUGUAUGCGUGAAAUGCACAAUAUGAAUCCGGAUUUGUGACGCGUUCCCGUUCGCCACAAGUGAAGCAUUCCCGUUCUUCACUAUGGAUGGACCAUUCCCGUUAUCCAUCCUGGAUGAAAUCCAUCCUGGAUGAACCAUUCCCGUUAUUCAUCCUUGGUGAACCAUUCCCGUUAUUCACCAUAUGAUGAACCAUUCCCGUUAUUCAUCAUUUAUGCAAGGUGAACCAUUCCCGUUAUUCACCAUGAUAUGCACAGGUGAACCAUUCCCGUUAUUCACCCGAUUGAAUGCAACGUGGUUAGCCAAACAACGAAUCGCCCUUACCACGAAAGUGUUUAGCUCACAACCCAAUCUCAACAAACCCAUGAGUUAGUGUCGGUCAAUACAACACAACUCGGAGUAAGUGUCGGUCAAUACAACACAGCUCCACCAACAAGAAUACACAAGGGUCUAGUGUCGGUCAAUACAACACAGCCCAAACAACAAGAGCGCUAAGUGUCGGUCAAUACAACACCGCUCCAACAACAAGAGAACCCAAGGGAUUAAUGUCGGUCAAUACAACACAACCCCAUCAACAAGAGUACGUAAAGUACUCGGUGACUUUCAAUCAUCACCAUAGCUCACCUUAGUGGCUUUCCCCAAUUCCAAUAACUCACAACAAAGGUCGACUUUUCCCCCGUCUUUCGUAAAUAUUUUCCCCUUCAGUUUUCCUAUACUUAAACAUUAAUAAAAAUGAUUUCAAUUCAGAUUAGUCAGGUUAUGAGUUUAUUUCUCAAAAUCUAGGUUUCCCAAGUCUUUAGUUUACAAAAUUCUAUUCAUUCUAGGUUUUCCGAAAACCAACCACCCAAAAGAAGUUUCCCGGGGAAAGUCUAAGUAAACCAACGAAUCCCAACAAAUGGCUAAGUCCCAAACCCCUCGUUUGAACUUGCCUAGGGUUGCUCAUCCAACCCGAAACAUCAAAGAUCACCAGAUCUAUGAAUCUCCACUCCGAAGUCGCGUCAAAACGCACAAUCCAACAAAGCACAACAUCACAACAUCAGUUCAUCAACACAAUCAACAUCAAAGUAAAUUAUAAGUCGAAUUGAUCGACGCCUAUCAUGCAUUCAUAGCUAAUAUAUAGUAAGUUGCCCUAACCUUCGGCGCUUUCCUUACUAAGUUGCGACUCAAAUGUUGGCUCACUUCCGUUUGUUCUUUGGCUUCGUCGUCAAGCGCUUCCGUCCUUCGUACCCUUCACAAGUUCACAUACUAAACCUUAGCCUCUAAAGUCACAUCUAAAGUUCCAGAACAAACUUAGCCAAUCUUUCUAGCUCACUUAGGCUAAAUGCACAAACUUUAUGUUUCAAGGACUAAAGUCCAAAGAUAAAAUAUUUGUGAGUUUUAAAGAAAGGUCCUUAAACACACAUUUCGCAAACAACUCCUCAACUCUUAAAUAAUUCAACCCUAGUCCCUUGAUAAGCACAUAAUCACGAAAAGGUCCUCACAUAAAAGUAAGUUCUUUUUCAACCCUCAAUCUUUUAUAAAUUUAUCAAACAAACCCCAAGACUUUUAAAACACAAGUUUAACCCAAAACUUCUAAACAUAUUGUGUUUUAGGCCCUAAAAUUAUUUUCAUACAAUUUUCAUCCCUAAAACACAUUCACAACUAGAUCCCCAAAUAGUUUAUAAAACCUUUCAGCUCAAAAAAUAAUAUACUCAUAAAAAGUUUUAAUUCCAAACUUAAAAUCCUCAUGAUGCUCUCGGCCCUUUUCUUUAAAUGUCAAGGUAAAUAUUUCUUCCAAAACUAAUAGUACACAAGUGAGACAAAUGCAAAAACCAUGAGGAAAACUAGUUUUAAAGUUUAUAAUCACUUCUGGGAAAGGAACACUUUUCAAAACUCAACUUUUUCUCCACAUGAAACUAUUACCAUCAGCCCUUUUGAAAUCAAAAGAGCAAAACCAUCUUUAAAAGAGAAAUAGCCACACAGUAAAGGAAAACUAGAAACAAUAGAAGUUAGGAGCUGUUUUAGAAGGAUUUAAUACCGAAACAAAAGCCAAUAGUAUUAAUUAGAAGCAACCUAUGGUGAUGGUGGCCAGCGGUGGCUGUGGUGCUCGCGUGUCCAUGGCUGUUUGGAGUGGCCAUGGUUGGAGCUUUUGUGUGUGGUGGUGGUGGCUCAUGGCUGGUUGUCCAUGGAGAAGAAAGGGAGAAGGAGCAGAAAUGGGUCUGCUGAAGAAAGAAAGAAAACGUGAAAGAGAAGAAGAAAAUGGGUCUGGCGUUGGGAGAAAGAAAAGAAACGAGAGUGUAAGGUGAUAUGCUGGAGAAGAUAUUUUCAUGAACAAGUGGGGGGCCGUGGGUCAUGAGUCAGAAAUUGAGAAAGAAUAGAAUAAGGAACUUAGUAAGAGAGAAUUAUAAAAUAUUUGUGGAAAUCAUCAGAAUGUGAAACGU
rnacentral:lncRNA from 1 species